rnacentral:rRNA from 1 species
UUGGAGGGCAAGUCUGGUGCCAGCAGCCGCGGUAAUUCCAGCUCCAAUAGCGUAUAUUAAAGUUGUUGCAGUUAAAAAGCUCGUAGUUGAAUUUCGGGGUUCUACCGUUGGUCGGGCUUUGUCUGUACUGGUGUGUAGAAUUUCUACCUUCUGGGGAACCAUCAUGCUAUUAAUUUAGCGUGGUGGGAAACCAGGACCUUUACCUUGAAAAAAUUAGUGUGUUCAAAGCAGGCUUAUGUCUGAAUACAUUAGCGUGGAAUAAUAGAAUAGGACGGUGGUCCUGUUUUGUUGGUUUCUGAAUCACCGUAAUGAUUAAUAGGGAUAGUUGGGGGCAUUAGUAUUCAAUUGUCAGAGGUGAAAUUCUUGGAUUUAUUGAAGACUAACUUCUGCGAAAGCAUUUGCCAAGGAUGUUUUCAUUAAUCAAGAACGAAAGUUAGGAGAUCGAAGACGAUCAGAUACCGUCGUAGUCUUAACCAUAAACUAUGCCGACUAGGGAUCGGACGAUGUUAAUUUUUCUUGACUCGUUCGGCGCCUUACGGGAAAC